AAUAGAUACGGGUAGUCCACGCCGUAAACGAUGAGUGCUAAGUGUUAGAGGGUUUCCGCCCUUUAGUGCUGCAGCUAACGCAUUAAGCACUCCGCCUGGGGAGUACGGCCGCAAGGCUGAAACUCAAAGGAAUUGACGGGGGCCCGCACAAGCGGUGGAGCACGUGGUUUAAUUCGAAGCAACGCGAAGAACCUUACCAGGUCUUGACAUCCUCUGCCAACCCUAGAGAUAGGGUGUUCCCCGUUCGGGGGACAGAGUGACAGGUGGUGCAUGGUUGUCGUCAGCUCGUGUCGUGAGAUGUUGGGUUAAGUCCCGCAACGAGCGCAACCCUUGAUCUUAGUUGCCAGCAUUUAGUUGGGCACUCUAAGGUGACUGCCGGUGACAAACCGGAGGAAGGUGGGGAUGACGUCAAAUCAUCAUGCCCCUUAUGACCUGGGCUACACACGUGCUACAAUGGAUGGUACAAAGAGCUGCGAACCCGCGAGGGUAAGCCAAUCUCAUAAAGCCAUUCUCAGUUCGGAUUGUAGGCUGCAA
rnacentral:rRNA from 1 species